GAUGAACGCUGGCGGCGUGCUUAACACAUGCAAGUCGAACGAGUGGCGAACGGGUGAGUAAUACGUGAGUAACCUGCCCUCUUUUUGGGAUAAGCCUUGGAAACGGGGUCUAAUACCGGAUAAAGGGGGAUGGGCUCGCGGCCUAUUAGCUUGUUGGUGGGGUGAUGGCCUACCAAGGCGGUGACGGGUAGCCGGCCGGAGAGGGUGGCCGGGAACAGUGGGACGGAGCAACGGCCCAGACUCCGACGCAGUGGAGCAGUGGGCGAUAUUGCACAAUGCGCGAAAGACUGAUGCAGCGAGGCCGCGUGGGGGAUGAAGGCUUUCGGGUUGUGAACCUCGUGCACUAUCGAACGGUAGGUGGACAAGAAGCGCCGGCUAACUACGUGCCAGCAGCCGCGGUAAUUC
rnacentral:rRNA from 1 species